GUCCACGCCGUAAACGAUGAGUGCUAGGUGCUUUGGGUAUUGACCCCCGAGGUGCCGUAGCUAACGCGUUAAGCACUCCGCCUGGGGAGUACGGUCGCAAGACUAAAACUCAAAGGAAUUGACGGGGGCCCGCACAAGCGGUGGAGCAUGUGGUUCAAUUCGACGCAACGCGCAGAACCUUACCUGGGUUAAAUCCACUCGAACUGGACAGAGAUGUCUGGGUGCCCCUCGUGGGAGCGAGUGAGAAGGUGCUGCAUGGCUGUCGU
rnacentral:rRNA from 1 species